rnacentral:tRNA from 1 species
UUAAUUAAAACCAAAAUAGAGGUAAAUUAUUGUUAAUAAUUUCAUUGAAUCCUUAAAUUCUAAUUAAU